GCGAAGAAUCUGAAAAAGAAUGGAUGUAUGUACCUAUAUAACUGAAUCACUUGGUACAGCAGAAAUGAUCACAACCUUGUACAUCAACUAUACUUCAAUGAAACUUUAAAAAAUAGAAAAAAUCAUGACAUAACAUUAUCAUUCAUCAAAAUCCAUCAUUUACAUUAGGGUUCACUCCUGACAGUGUACAUUCUGUGGGUUUUAACAAACGUAAAAUGACACCUACCCACAUUGUCAUACAGAAUCAUUUUACUGCCCUAAAAAUCCUCUGUGCUCUGCCCCUUUAACCCUCUCUCCUCCUCAGUGUCUGACCCCUAUAGAUCUUUUCACUGUCUCCAUGGCUUUGCUUUUCACUCAAUGGCAUGUAGUGGGGAUAAUGUGGUAGGUAGCAUUUUCAGACUGCUGUGUUUUACUUAGUGAUAUGCAUUUAAGGCUUCUCCAUGUCUUUCUGCAGCUGGAUAGCUCAUUUCUUUUUAUUGCGGGCUAGUUUCUGCUUAAUAUUUAAAGCAUUCAGGCUACGAGAGGAACAGAGUUGUCCUCACCUCUCACUUCCUCCUUAACUGGCAUUUCUUUCAUCCUAAGAGAUUACUAGGGCUCACCUAAGUUUUAAAAAAUAGGCUUACUCUGGUGCGUUAUUUCAAAGAAUUAAAUAUUCUGGAACAAUUUCCAGUACCUUUUGUAAGACCAAAGAACCAGUUCUAGUAUUUCCAUCCCAGGCAAACUAGAGGGGGUCUGUUUCAGCUGUGGACAAUACUGAUGUUCUUGGCAUUUUUACCCUGAAGAAUUUAUAGCCAUAUAAUUCAUGUUUUUCCAAAAAUAAAUGAUUUCCUGACUUUUUUUUCCUCUAGCAACAUCGGAGGUCUUCCUCACUUGCUUAGUAAGAACAUUCGUUUUAAGUACGUGAACCCAAGCAUUUUCCCUCUUUAUUUACAUUUCCUCAACAGAAUCUACUUUGUUCAUGAAGAGCACGGUAGAGGAGGGGCCUCAGGUCUUGUAACUGCUAUUUGAUAAUCCUGAAAUGUGCAGGCUUUAGAAUUCAAGGAAGUGAGGUGAGUGUCCCGCUCUGCACCCUUUACUCACUGGGUGCCUUUUAAAGAGUCCUUUCUCCUCUCUCUGCCUCCAUUUUUUCCCUUCUGUAAACUUCAAUGAAGAACAGGCUCUUUCUUGUAAGACUGUUCUGGAUAUGGAAGGAGAAAAUCCAAGGAGGGCAGUGAGCACAGUUUCAACAACAGAAAACUGCCUCCAACAUCAGCCAAGCCACAUCAGGUAAUUGGCCUGUGUAUAAAGGAAAUGCUGAGUUCACAGUAGAUGCUCAUGAAAUUAUUCCUGAUGUGCCAAGGGGGGCAAAGAAAGGGCAACCCCAUCACAUGAAGGCUCUUAGAGAGCACUAUGGAGGAGAUGGACUUAACCGGGGUGGAGUGUGAUGAAGCAGAUUAGGUGCCCUUGCAAUCUCAUGGAACCGAGGACAUCACUUCUACCAUCUUUUGGCUCUGCCCUUGCUGAGACAGGGCCACUGCUAAGAGCUCACAUACUUUUCUCCAAAAGCCCAUUUCCUACAAGCACAUGCUGUGGAAAGGUGAUUAGCCAACAGCAAAGUUCCCAGGUGUUUUUCCUUUUUGAUUUUUUUUUUUUUCUUUUUGGCUGCCCCCACAGCAUAUGGAAGUUCUUGGGCCUGGGAUUGAAUCCAAGCCCCAGUUGCAACCUAUGCCACAGCUGUAACAAUGACAGAUCCUUAACCCACUGCACUGGGCUGGGGAUGGAACCAGUGCCUCCACAGAGACAAGCCAACUCGUUAAACCACUGUGCCACAGCAGGAACUCCCCAGUUCCCAGGUUUAAUAAACAGUUUCUUUAGGGUGAAACUAAAUAGUAUAGCCUCAUUCUCUGUCUCCACUUCUCCUCACCGCACCCCCAACCUCUCAGAUAAAAUAACUUAUCCCAUAGUUAUUAAGAUACUGAUGGUGGAAGAAAUCUCAAUCCCACAUAACAGGAGAGCUAACUACAUAGGGACUGUGGGCACUCUUUUUUUUAUCCUACUUUUACUUUUUGAUUCACUUUCCUUUUGCAGACAAAGACUCCCCUGCCAAAGGCAGGGUAAAUAAACUCAGACACAUCCUGUCUCCUUUACAUCUUUGUUUAUCCAUAAACCGUCAAAGAUACAGAUGAAAAUCCACCAAAGUGUGCAUGGAGAAGUUAGACAAAGGCUAAAUGAGGCAGGAGCAUAAAAGCUCGAUGAUGGGGAAGAUACUAUCUGCAGUGAUGCCAAGCUGGCUCUAUGUGAUGACAUGAAUAUAGAUUAAAGAAAUCAACAAAAGAUGACAACUAAUAUAGUUAAGAAUGGAUUUGGUUAUGAAAGGAAGCGAUAAUGGAAAAAGGCAAUAUGAGAAAGGAUCUGUAUACUUACUGGGAAAGUGAUAACACUUUAUCACCACCAAUGUGCUCUGUUGACCGCCUACAGCCCUGAGGGGGUGGGGGAGGGGAUGCUAGAAUGCCAGGCUCAGUUGGAUGGAGCUGGGACAGGUGAUAUCCUUGUGAAAUUCUUAAGAGACUUGAGAAUGAGAGUGUGUUUGAAACCUGGCUCCUCAUUUACCUUUUCCCUUUAACUGGGUGACCUUUAGCUACUCCAAACCUCACUUUCCUUGUGUAUAGAUGAGAUAAGUUAAUAUCUACCUCAGAGGAUUAUUUAAGAUUUGUUGAGGUAAAGUAUAAAAGUGCUUGAUAGUGUUUGGCUCAGAGGAACUUCCAGUAAGAGUUAGCUGUUACUUUUUUCUUUUUAUGGCAGCACCUAUGGCAUACAGAGGCUCCUGGGCUAGGGAUCGAAUCUGAUUCUUAAUUUACUCAGCAGGGCCAGGGAUUGAACCUGUAUCCUCAAGGACACGAUGUUAGGUUCUUAACCCAUGGAGCCGCAGUGGGAAAUCCUAUGAUACUUUCAAUAUAGUAAUAAAGAUUAUGAGUCAAAGGGCACAUUGCACUCAGUGUUGCCCCAUUUUUGCCACUAUGAAACUUCUUAUUCCAAGGCAUCCCACAAGGUUAAUGUUCUGCAGAAAACAAUUUGGAAAAUGCUACCUUAAGUAAAACCAAAGCAUUGGGUUGGAGGGCUGGGGUUUAGGUGGGAAAUAGGAUGUAUGCCUUGAAUAUCCUCAUUAGAAAGGUAAGACUUCUAAAGUGGUAUUUGUGGCAAUUCCUCUAGCAUUUGGAAGAUCGAGUCUGGGGUCAAGAAGGUCUUCUUUAUGCUGUCCUCAUUUCUGUGGAAAAUCAGAUUUCAUUUCCAUCAUGCCUGCCUAACAGUAGUUUUUCUGGGACCUAAAUGAAAACAAGGACUGCCUGCUCAAAUUGGUUACAAGAUUUGCAAAGCACUGUUUUCUCUUUUGACCUCUACCCCGGCAGCAGGCCUGCAUCUACACUACGCUGCUCCUGGGUCAGAAUGUCCCCUCAUGUCCCAUGAGCACAGAGCUGUCACAUACCCUUGGGAAGGGACUGGAGCCUGGAAGAAGCAUCUGGAGAAGAAGAAACUGUCUGCAAGGCUGUGGAUGUUUUAUGAUCUGGAAGGGAUGGAAAAUUCAAGGUACAGGCUUGCAGCUUAUGUUCCACUCCCCUCCCCCCAGUCCUCUUUUUUUAACACAAGUCUCAGCAGUGAGACUCAUUUUCCACGACUCCCAAAGUGGUUGUGCAGUAUAUCUGUUAAUUUAAUCAGCUUCCUCCAUGGAGGCCACCUUCUCUAAUUGCAUUCUUGUGAGGGAUGAUAGAUAUGACAAAAAAGAUUUCAUCUCUAGAAAGGAAGCCAGUCUCAUCACUGAUACUAGUAAUCAAUCUCCCAUCCCCCCAAAAAUAGUGCAUGAGCCUCAGGUGCCACUUGGCAUUGGGCACAUCCUGUCUCAGGUCACAUUUGUUUACUAGAGCAUCAUCUCUUUCUCCUCCUUCUGGGGCCAACGAUGAGAAAGUGAAGAGCCUGAAGUGAAAAUGGAGUGUCUACAGCACUACCUGGGCCAGUAAUAACGACGAGGAGGCCAGUGCGGAAGGAGUUGAGUGGUCAAGGCAAGGGUAGAAGAUGUAAUCAGAGAGGGAGCACCAAUGAUAUCAUUGGCUAUGUGGAUGGUGUCCUUAGAGCUGGAUGGGACACAGACUGCAUAACUGUAUUCAGUGGCACUGAUUCAACAACAUAUACUGGAAAGAAAAUACAGAAAUAAGUAUCAUGGCGGAACCCAUAUGCCCACAGCCGGCACCCCGUCGUUUUCUGAGUUGCAGUGUGAUGAAAUGCUGCUGGCAACAUCUGCUUAGUGAGGCAGGAGCCUCCUCCUCUCAAGCAGCCCCUGCAUCUGUUCAACCCCCCAAGAGAGAAUGAAAGAGAGAAAACCAACUCUACUGACAGAAGGAAGAACAGGCCUCGGUGGCAUGAAAAAAUCAAAGCAAGGUUUUGAAAUCAUUUCUUUGGUAGUUGGAGCAGACAGAUGUAGAGAAGCAGUUCUUGAAGAACCACUUGCAGAUGUCAGAAAACACAAGGUUUCUGGAAGCUGCACAGAAGGGCUGCUCUUUCACGGAGGAACAGUGGCACCCUGGGCAUGAGGGGCCAGAGGUUAAGCAUCAUUUUAGGGUGUGUUUGGGGGAACUGUUUAUAAAUUUACCAGAGUCUGGUUCUCAAUUUGGCAAUCGCUGUUCUCCUGAGUGAUCCCCUCCCCCAUGUCUGACGUCAUUCCCUCGCACUACACUUUCUCUUUCCCAUGAAGAUCAAGAGUGCAGUGGUCUGAGAGGACUUUGCUUGUGGAAUGAAGGUCUCUCAGCUGACAGUGUACUCCAUUCUCCCUCCAGGAUCCUGAGAACAGCCAUGCAGUCAUGUCAAGUCAUCCAUCUAAGAGUCUGUUCCUGAAAGCGGUUGAUAUCAGUGGAUGGUGGAGGCUGGAUUACCUCAUGGUUUCUUCACAUACAUAUCUGCUGCAUGGCUGGAAUACAGAAGAGCUAGAAGCUAAGGCAGGUCUGUCUAUCCUCUUGUGUCUAACCUGGGCUUCGCCACAGCAUAGUGGUCUUGGGGUUGUUGAACUUUGUAUAUGGCUGCUGGCUUCUCCCUUAAGGAGUGUUCCAAGAGGCAGGAAGGAAAAGCUGCCUAUCUAUUAAGACCUGGGCCUGAAAAUAGAAACAGUGUCCCUUCUUCCAUAUGUUCCUGCUCAAAAAAAUUUCUGAGCUCACACAGAUUCAAGGGGAGGAGUCACAGACUUGCCUCUCAAUGGGAGGAAUGCUGAUAAAUUUGUGGCCAUGUUUUGUCCACCGCAAAAUGUGAAGCAUACACAUACACACAGAGUAUGUAUACCAGGUCUGGAUAUAAUCUUUCAGAUAGAAUCUACAGUCAUAGCAACUAAAUGCUACCUUCAUUAUCUUAUAGGGAUGUCCUGCAAUCUUUUCAUGUACGUAGUGGAAGAUAGCACCUGGCAAGUGUUAGGUGAAAACAGUGAAGAGUGACCAAUAGAAGCAAUGAAAAGAAUCAUUAACUUCCCUGUCAGAGGCAUGAGUCAUCCUCCAUCUGUUGAGCACAGGAGGAUUGCAGGAAGUUGCUCAUGAUCCUACCAAGGCAAUCAUUGUGAGCUCAAAUAGAGAGAGGGUGGCCAGGAAGACUCAUCUCAUGGCACCUGCAGGGGGUCCUGGGUGCUUUUGUGUAAAAUGUGGCACCAACUUCAGGAACAGGAUAUGCCAGUGUGACAGUGAGUCAGCAAGUGAAACCAGGGCUGCUCAAGUUGUGACGUCUGCAAAAGCUAGGAGAAAAGAAAUUAUCCCAGUGUCCCAUUCCCCCCAAAGGAAGAGCAAAGUUUCAUCUCAGGAUGUUCACAGGGAGGGGGAAAAACAGCUAUUUUCAUAUAAAAGUAUUAUUGGAUUCUUUUAAGGAUAAGGAUAGACCCACAAUUUUUCUUGAAUUAUAUUGAGAGGAAAAAGUGAAAAUAAGCCAAGCUAAGAAAGUAAUAUAUUAGAUUUGAAAGUAAUUUAUUAUGACCAAGUUGGGUUUAUCCCAAGUAUGUAAAGUUACUAGACAUUACAAAACCUUACUGAUGCCAUUCCCCCAUGAACAUAUUGUGGUAGCUGGUCUCUAAAGAUGGUCUCUUGGAAUCUUGUAUAGUCCCUCUAGCACUGACUCUGGCCUGCGAUUUACUUUAACCAACUGAAGAGGGCAAAAGUGAUGCCAUGCCAAUUUCAGGAAUAUGCCUUAAGAAUGCCUGGCUGCUCCAGCUUUACCCUUUGGGCCACCAUGUAAUAAAUCAACUACCCAGAGAUCUUAUAAAGGGUACAUGUGGAGGCCACACGGAGAGAAGCCCUGAGACUAUGUGGGGGGAGACAGGACCAGCCGUCCUGGCAUCCCAGCUGCACUGGGACUUCAAAUCACCUCCUAGGAGAUGCCAUCUAGGAUGUUUCAACUUCCAGGCUGAGCUUCCAGAUGAAUUCAGUACUGGAUAACAUCUCACUGCAAGGGCAUGAGAGUGUCCAAACAAGAAUGGCAGAGGAGCCACAUUGCUGAACCCUCUCAACACACAAAAUUGUAAGAGAUAAUAAAAUAGUAGUCUUUUUUUUGGGGGGGGGGUACCUGCAGCAUGCGGAAUUUCUUGGGCUAAGGGUCAAACUUGCAUUGCAGUUGCAACCUGCACGACAGCUGCAGCCACGCUGGAUAUUUAACCCACUGAGCCACAAGGGAGCUUCCUAAAAUGUUAGUCUUUUAAUCCACUAAAUACUGGCAUGGUUUGUUAUGAAAUAAUAGACAAAAGAGAAAAUUCUAAGAUUAUCUUAAAAAAUGCAGAAGUGCAGAAAAACCACUUGAAAAAAAUUGUACAUUCAUUCAUGAAAAAAAAAAAAAAGAUAACCUCACAGCAAACCAGGAAUAGAAGGGACCUAACUUCCUUAAUUUGAUAAUAGAAAUCUACAAAAAAAAUUCAGUGAUCAUACUUGAAGAUGUAGUCUCGCUUUGAGAACAAAAAAAGACAAACUUGCCCACUAUUAAACUUCUAAUCGGAAUUACACUGAAGGUUUCAGUCAGUGCAGUGAGGCAAAAAAAAUAAAAAGCAUGGGAACUAGAAAGGAAGCAAGAAAUUUGUCACUUAAAAAUGAUAUGAUUUUAUGACACCAAAAAAAACCUACAGAUAUAUUUUUUACAAAUAUAUAAUGAGAAAAUUAAAACAUGUUUUCUAGAUUUAAUAUUAAUAUGAAAAAAUCAAUUGUACUACUACAUAUACCAGCAAACAAAAAUGAAAACUGGUAAAAAUAGCAUUCAUGAUAGCAUCCAAAUACAGAAGAAUAAAGGAGUUAAGACUUCUACUGAAUAAAUUAUAAAAUAGAACCAAUGGACAGUUAAAAGAUGUAAAUAAAUGGUCAUAGAUUUAAAGCCUCAAAAUUGUAAAGAUAUAAAUUCUCCUCCAAUAUAAUCCCAACCAAAUGGUCAAAAUUUUUAACAUAUGAUAAGCUGAGUAUCAAAUAACUAUGGAACUGAAAAGGAUGAAUAAGAUGAAUAAGAGCCAAGAAAAACAGCAACAAUUUGGGAGGCAUGCCCCACCAGGGAUCAAGGAUUACUAUGAUGUGAGAAUUAACUAGAUCAGGGAUAGGCAAACAGACCAGUCAAACAAGAUAGCAAACCCACAAACAGACUUAUGCAUAUAAUAUGGGUAUUUACUGUAUGACAGAGGUAUCACAGUGCUUUGGUAGGGGAAGGACAGAUUUCAAUAACUAUUGAAGGACAAUUUGGGUUGCCAUAUUUUUUUUAAAAAGAAAAAACAAUACCACACCUAACAUCACAUAGACAAUGAUUCCAUUAGUUUAUAAUCCAAAUAGGAGAGGAUAAACUAUAAAACUUAUAAAAUAAUGCAGAAAGAAUAUUUUCAUGAGUGCAAAGUAGAUAAAAAAAGGAUGCCUUAAACAAAAUACAAGCAACCAGAAGGAAAAUAUUGUCUAUUUCAUUACAUUAAAAAAACUGCUUAUUAAAACAUACAAUUAAAAGAUUAAAAAGAAAAAGCAUGGAUUAGGAAAUACAUAUAACCAACCAGGAACUUAUUUUCAAAAUAUAGAAGAACUCUCCCAGGACAGUGAAACAAAAAUAGCCAAUGUAAUAUAAAAACACCUGCAAAAGUUUCGUUUUUUUGCUUUAAAAAAGCUAAAAUUCAAAUGACCAAUAAAUAUAUGAGAAGGCAUUCAAUCUCAUUAAUAAUCUGACAUACACAAAAAACCAAAAUGAAAUACUAUUACCUGAAUACCAGAUUCACAAAAACUCUUAUGUUCUGAAAAUGCCUAAUGUUGGGAGAGUGUAUAAUAUUGGGAAUCCUCGUGCCCAGCUAGUGUGAAAAAUAUAAUCACUUAUUUUGUCAUUGUGUACUCAAAUCAAAGAUAUAUCUACCCUAUGAUUCAACCAUUUCAAUCUUAAGUAUAUAUCUUAGAGAAAUUGAUAUGUAUAUGCACAAGAAUUACUGAAAACUCUUUGUAUUAGUGCAAAUCUUGGAUGAACAUGCUGAGUAGAAUGGAUAAAUUAUGAUAUAGUCAUACAAUCAUAUGCCCUGCCCCACUGUAAAUGAACUAUGUGGAUAAACCUUGCAAAUGUACAGAGAAUCAAAGAAGUCAGGCACGAAAAUAUGAUUCUAUUUUUAUAAAAGUUCAAAAACAGACAUUUUGGAAUAUUCAUCCAUAUUCACUAAAACUAAGUAGAAAAAAAUAGCAAUCACAAUGGUGGUUAUUUCCAAGGGAGCCUGAACAACUGUGAUAGGGAGGGGGCUCAUGGGCUGCAGGCAAUGAUCUUUUCCUGGCCCAAGGUGGUAGUUAAAUCAGUGUUCUCUUUUCUUUUUUUUUUUUAUUGUGAUAUAGAUAUACCAUAAAAUGUACCAUUUUAACCAUUGUUAACUGUACAGAUCUGUGGUCUUAGCUAUACUCAUAUUAUUCUCCAACCACUGCUAUUCAUUUCUUACAAUUAUUCAACUAAUGGUAAAAAAGUUUUAUAUAUUUUUCUGCACAUUCAUUAUAUAUCUCACAAGAAAUUAAGCCAAAAUAUUACCAACUCAGGGGGCAUGUAUGUGAAGGUUUGGUUACAGAGGUAUUAACCAUAAUAUUGUUUGUAAUAGGAAAAAAAUCUGAACCACUGAACCACUGGUUUGGAUUACAAGAAAGGAUGGAUCAAAUCCAUCAUCACAUAGAGAGCCACAGAAGGGAGUUCACGCAGCCUCUAGAAAUGAUAUCAUAGAAGAAUAUCUCAUGGCAUCUAAAGACAAUUGAGGAUCACAGUAAUGUGGGAAAAGAUACAGUACAUUAUGUAAAAAUAUUCCAAUGCCUUAAAAUAAACUACAAAUAUUUAUACAAGGAAAAAGACUGGGAGAAAUAUAAGAUUAACUCUGUAUUUGGGUGAUGAUUUUAAGAGUAAUUUUUGUUUUCUUUGUUUUGCUCACUUGUAUAGUUUCAGUAUUGAGCAAUGAAGAUGGAUUAUUUUUAAGGAAAUAAACAGGAGAUAAUAUAUUUUAUUGGAAAACAACAACAACAACAUCCUAGAGAUCUCAAAAAAAGGGAAAAAGAACCCUAGUAUUGAUUAGGCAAUAAGUAUGUUAAGAAAAUAGCUGGAAUCCUACCAGUUCCUAUUUAUCCAUUUGAAUAUAAUUUUUCUCUGUCAGUUACCUUCUUUCUACCUGGUUAUCAUUGUUUCCAGAGCCCUAGUUCUGAUAGUAAAAUCAAAAUCUAGCUGUGUGCUUUGGAAGCAAUAGGACAGGUAGGGGUGUGUGUGUGUAUGUGUGUGUGUGAUCCUAUACAACAGCCUGCCCUAAUUGAAAGGAAGUGAAAAGCUCCAAAUGUUGCAGGGAUGGCUGAUAGAUCAUCCUUCAGUUCUAAUCCAUCUGGUCUACUGCCUCUUACAGAAACCAAAAGAGGAAAAAUGAGGUGUAUAUGACAUAGGAAAUGAGGGCAAUCAUUUGGAUGAUAUAGUACCACCUGCCCAUAAAAUGUGUGAGUUGGGAUGGGCAGCAAAAUAUAGGGCACCAGUUACAGCGUUCGGAUCUGACUUCACACUGGGUAGGUAGGUACCUGAAAACAUCAAACAAUGAGUGAGUGCAGAGGACUCCACAGUCAACACACAAAGAUUCCCAGGAACUGGGGUGGGUUCACCCUAUGCAUCCCUGUUAGCUGAUCAGAAUGAAAUGUCCUGAGUGAUAAGUUGUGGCAUAGUUUCCCCACAUUAUUGAUGCCCUCAGACUUUGGGGCAAUGGCUUCCCUCCCAUCUGAGCCAGUUCUUCCUAAAUUUACAGAAAAAUUCAAAGAAUAUUUUAUGGCAGGCAAAGAAAGUAAAAAAAUCAUGAAAUGAUGAAAGAUGUUAAUGAUCCAUUAUGGAUAUGUAUGGCAUGCAACUAUAAUAAUUUUAAUUAUAUAUGUCUAUAGGUAUCAUGACAUAUGGGAAAGUACUGGAGCUACUAUAGAUCAGCUUCACAUUGAAAAAAAAGAAGAGUUUGCAGUGGGUAGCGGGGUGGCAGUGAGCUGCAGAUGGGGGUAGAGGUUUUAGUACUAUUUUUCAAUGGAAGUUGGACUACUGGUAAUAGAUGUGGUGUAAAAUAAGGGUCAAAUGAAUUUGGGGAAACUUAAGUUUAGUAAAAGUAUACAUGGUUUCAGGAAUUCCUAGGGUCUUUAAUUAAUUAAAAUGCAUUGUGGCCCUGCUAAGCAUGUAUAUCUACUACGCAAGUAAAACAAUGCGGAGUUAUUGUGCAAAAUUUUGUGACACAGAAUAUCAUAUAAGGAACAUACUUCGGGAAUUUUUUUAGUAAAGGAAUCCUUCUUUUGCUGUUUUAUUUACUCAGGAGAGACAACAUGCUUUUUUUUUUUUUUUUUUUUUUUGCAUGGACUUCACCCAGUAUGCGAUAGGGAAGGGCUCUGUCUCCACACAAUGCUUCAAUACUUCCUUCUCUGAUGUCCUCACCCUGGCUUUUCUCUGUAUUGAUGGCUAGUGAUAAACCGGAUAAAGCUCAAACUACUAACAAGUAUCAGGGGUUUUCAUCAACCAGACUAAGUCCAUAGAUUUUGCAAAAUGACCUCCCAGAACUCAGAGGUAAUCCAUUGCUGGAACUGUUAAUACAUGGCCAGAGAGUGCACUUUGUCUUUGUUUCCCAUGUAUUUUCUCUCCCAGAAGAAAAAACAAAUAGCUCAAAAAAAAAAAUAAAUAGAGGAGUGUGUAGAAAUAUCUUAAAAAUGGCAUCUUUGCAACUUUGCCAAAUAAACGAAGAAUGAAGGAAUAAUUUAUCUAUGUACACGUACAUGCUUGCCACGUAAAACUGUCAUUGUCUAUGGCACUCUUGAUUUUCUUUGAAAAUAAUAGGAUAUAAAUAUUCAGUCAGAAGGAUUGUCAUAUAGAUGGAAUUAAGUUCUAAUAAGGACUAAGUUAAGAACAUGGCUAAGAAAUACAGAGUCUUCAUAACUUCACUUUUUUCUAAACUUCCAAUUACCCUCCCCUCUCUUUUUUGGCAGCAGCAGAAACCCUAGCCAUAGGAGCAAAAUUCAAAUGAAGUCUGCACGCCAAAAGAAAUAGAACUUAGCGUUUACUCUCUGCUCCUGCUUCCACUUGGAAGGUGUCUUUUCCCUAAAAAACAUUUAUAAGGAUAUAAAAGUGGCUUUCUAUUUUUGGCCAGGAGAAGAAAAUGAAAAACAAUGGAUUAAAAAAAAUAUUAACUUUUCCAGACGAAAUAAUGUGCGAUUUUUUGCGGUUUUUCCAACUUUUGAAACCGAGUCUGGUAAAAUGCUUAAUUCAUUCAGCCAGUGAAUCACCUUUCCUUUGAGGGAAUAUUAAUGCCAAGCUAAAAUUUCUCCGUAUGAGGAAGGAAAAAUAUAUAAAGCAGCAAAGCUGGGAGUAGAUUGGAAAAUUCAGUCAAUUCUGUCUCUACCUCAUUAAUUCUGCCCUCAUCAUUUGGAGGUCCUGUGGGCAGUAGCAGUGCAUCAUUGAAAUGGUACCUUCAGGUGUUUCACUGAGACAUAAUUAAAAUUGAUGCUGUCAUCUGGUGUUUCCUUGUGCCAUUUGUCUAACUCCUUGCAAAUGGCAAAACAGAGCUCUUCAUUAUGAUUUUGUUUCUCUUUAAGAAACUGCCUGAGAUUUCCUUGAAAUGCUCUGGAAAACACUUUAGCCAACUGGAAGACAACUUAGGGGUCACCAAGUUCUCUUCAGGGAUUUCCUUGGCAAUAUAGCCAAUGAGCACAUUUGAAUGGACUGGCUAUAACAGGCUGUUUCUGGGCAGGGAAAACAAAUCCUAAUCAAUAAGUUGAUUCAUUUAAGUUUUAACAUCAUUUGGUAUAAUUGCCAUCAAUACUAUGAGCUCACCAUCUCUUCUGAAUGGCAGAUCAAGCUGGAGCAUCUGGAAAAUCAGCAGGACCUUGGAAUUUGCUGGUGGAAGUUAAGUUUCAGAAGGGUCACAACUUGUGAGCUACUGUGAAGUGGCAUCAGGAGGCUUGUCUGAAAUGGGAACAGAAGAUUGUGGCACAGGAUGUGGAUGGUGUGGUGGAUAACAAUACGGCCAGCUGAGGUGGACAGAGGAUGUUUAGGGAAGGGGUGUGCCUUUUGUAAGUUCCUACACUGCAAGGUUCAACUGGAUACAGAUUUCUAUGUCCACCUAACCUUUCUCACAGAUGUAAUCACACAUAAGGGAGCACAAAAUUAGGCUUGAACUAUUCCCAAAAGCAUCAGUGAUGCUGACCCAGAGCUGUAUUUUCAAAACAACUCUUCAGCUGACUGUACGUAGUUCAUUUUCCUAUUUGCCUAUGCCCUUAUAAAGAGUACCCCUUGACUACAUUCUUCUCAAUGACUGAAUUUAUUUAUGAAUUGUGUCUCCUGUUUCCUGUCAUAACAUCUAGAGAGAGAAUGAAGGGCAGUCUGGAGGCAAGAGUUCUGGUAUUAUGGUAGGAGGUUUGAACCUGAUAGGAAGAAUGGAUAAGCAAUGAGGUCCUGCUGUACAGAACAGGGAAUAUAUUCAAUCACUUGUGGUAAGGACAUGAUAGAAGAGAAUAUGAGAAAAAAAGAAUAUACACACUGGGUAUACACAAGAAUAUACACUGGGUCCCUUUGCUAUACAGCAGAUGUUGACAGAACACUGUAAAUCAACCAAACUUUAAUUAAAGAGGUUUUUUUAAAAAAGGAAUUCCUAUCAGAAGCAGUUGCCAAGGAACUUUGAAAGAUAGUAAUGUGUCUUAACGCAAUUCUAGUGGCUUUAUGUUCUUUAGUAUUUUACCUUCCCCGCCACAGCCUGCCCCUCCUCAUCCUCUGUUAGAUUCAACAGCUCUGUAUUACUGAGGUUUGGGGAAGGAAAGAGAGAGUGGUGUAUGGGACAUGAAGAGGGGCAGGAAGCACAAGGGUCACCAUCACCAAGAAAAAAACAAGAGACACAAAAACCCCUUUCCCCAGAAUCAACCUUUGAAAGACACUAGGCACUUCCCAUUCUGCUACUAUGCAUGUAACUCUGUUGGGGCGAUUUGGUUGAUAGAGACCUGGACCCCACAUCCCAGAAAAAGAAGAUGGUUUGUAUUUCUACAUUUUCCACAAAAGAAAGCUUUGCAACAAUAUUUUCCAUUUCAAAGGCACUGUUCUGCAAGUCACAAAAACUGAAAAGUGAAAAUAUUCAAUGUCUCCCCUCAACACGUCCUUUUACUUUUUUUUCUAACCUGAGUCUGAACACAAAUAUAACCUAGUCUUUGCCCAACAAUAUUAGCCAUAGAAGCACAUGCACAGGAAGGGAUUAUUAAUCCUCAAAAAAAGCCUUGGCAGAAUUUGAUGAAAGCUGAAAUGUAUUUUCACAGAUGGUUGUGCUACGGUGAAUUUGAUUUGAAAAAUAUUAAACAAAGCAAUACCCCCAUUUCUGUUUUAUUCCCUGAAAGCAAUUAUUACAUGAAAAGGUAGACAGGCAGGACACAGUUAACAAACAAAGACUAAAGAGUUGUCAUCGGCUUAGAAAUGUUCUGGAAAAUAAAUGAGGGCCACUUGCCAAUAAGAUGACUGUAAAAUACAGAAAUGAAAAAUCUAUAUUGCAAACUUACACAUACUUCUAUCCUACAUCACAGUUUGAUGAAGCAACAGAUAAAUGACCCAACAUUGAUUGUUUUUACAGGAAUAUGACAAGCCCCCAAAGAAGAGAAACAGAACAUCUCUCCAUUCACAUAAAAAGCAAAUUACAGAUGGAGCAGAAAAAAAAUUCACUACUCUCAGAGCAAGAUUCAAUUAAAAAAAUGUGUCUGGCUUUGACAGGGCAAAUUCCAGGCGUAGUCUAAUUUCAUAGAAGUUGGUUUUAAAGGAAAGACUUGAGUGCUACAAAAGCUUAUGGAACUUUUCACGGCUUGUCAUAAUUUCUCUGUAAUACUAAACAAGGAUUUCCGGAUCCUGAGCUCAUAUUUUUCCUCUAACUGAUCUUGCAAGGUGGUGUUUGGCUUUGGACAGUGUGUUUCCUCUCUGAAAAUCACACUGAAUAAUAGCUUCAUGGUAAAUAUUAAAUAAUAAGUCAUACUGCCUUACUGGAUUGUAUACCCUAAUAUAUCAUGCUUUACCAAGGAUUAUAUGUAUGUACUUGUGUAUGAAAACAUGUGGUUAAACAGCAGAUGAAACUGUGGAAGGAAGACCAGAGGCAGCUCGUCAUGUCUCAUGCAGUGCAACAAGGACAGCACAAAUGGCAUUAUUUAAGCAGAAGGCAAUUCUGACUCUGGGACAUCUAUUUCCAACCACAGCAACACUAGGCAAGAGCUCUUGUUUUUGUGUUGUUCAAAGGUUGAAGACAAUACAAAGAACCUCUAAAAGUCACAGGAGUUUUGAGGUAAAAAUUUCUGCAUGUUCCCCUCCGUCUUGUCACCUUUCAUCCACUCCGUACAGGGUAUCAUUAAGCAUUUCUAGACAUCAAGUUCUGGAUCUUGUUAUAAUGCUCAGAAUUGCUGUCAGUGGACAGGAAAAGAGCUCCAGUCAUGAGGCUUGAGCUGUGCGAAUAAAUACACCCAUUUGGGUGUUAUAAAGCUGUUGCAUUUGUCUUAUCAUUUCAUUCUUCAAUUGACAUGGUGACCCUCAGAAAACCAAAGAAGACAUUUCUUCAGUUCUUUACUCUCAACCUCAGGGCAGCAUGGUCCUUAUUCUCUGUCCCCCUUUGCCCUUUAGAGAUGAUUGCCUACAUUUGGGUGCCUAUAUUACAUAUGUUUCAACCUGUUCUCUCAACAUUAACUGUUUGGGAUUAAAAUAGUUUCUAAGAACCAUUUUCAGGCUUUCCUUGAACUGCUGCCAGUCUUUGGCUCUGCACAGAAAGGAAAAUGCUGAGCAUUAAAAACAAAAUGGGGAUUAGUCAGAAGGAGAUAAUAAAUAGCACAUUACUACAUGUGGCAGAACCAAAAAAAAAAAAAGAAAAAAAGGAAAAUACAGCAUGUUUGUAUUUUAGUGGUUUAACCAUGACGAUCGUUUGAGGUCUUAGGAAAGGUAAGAGAAACAGAGAUCUGUGUCAAGAAGUAAGAUUGGAGAGAAGCUUUACCACAGAAAUCAUCUCAGAUCAUGGACACUGUUUAUGGAACCAGACUGAGAGUCUGUUGAAGCGUUCCCCCAGUGCAUUAUUUGCAAUGCAAAUCAUAAUUAAAGAAAUAAAUGAUGUACUCAAUCGUGAUGAAGAUGAUAUCAAAGCUAGGAGUUUGAAGAAGGUCUGCAGGAUGCAGUUGUGCUAAUAUUAUGCUAAUGAAGGGGUGGGGCAAAUACUAUCCAGUCCGUGGUCUGAGUCUCUGCAGGUUGGGGUGGAGGGUGGCCUGGCUGCCACAUGGGAAUGGAGAAACAUAGUGGUAAAAUUAAAAAAAAAAAUAACCAUCACCACAACUAAUAUUUUUUUUAAAAAGCGUGCCCGAUGAGGUUGCUGUGCUAUGUACAUCCCCACCUAAGAAAUCAAGGUACAAAGAGAGCAGUGGAGCAAUUUUCCGAAUUUAUAUGGUUGAAAGACGGCAAAUCAAAGAUUUAAACCACCACAAUGCAGCUCAUAAGAAUCCCUAUUCAACCCUACACUCUCCUGCUGGCAUGAAUGGGCUGGGAAAGUUGAGGCCUGGAUACCAUGUACCACCAUAGAGGCAGGAAUUUAUCAACUGAUCAUGCACUUGUUCAGAUGGUCAACAAAUGCAUAUUAAACACCUACCAUGUGCCAAGUGCUCAUGCUGGAAAUUGGGGAUUUAAUGACAAACAAUCAGGUGAGUUCUCUGUUCCUUUGGAAUUUGUAAUCUGGCUUGGGAGAACAAUGGAAAAAAUUCAGGCUGCCUACAAAAUUUUGGAGGGAAGCAUCCUAAAGUGGGUCUGGAAGUUUAACAUGCUUCAAAAUUGCCAAAGAGGGCUUAUUAAAACAUGAAUUGCUAUCCCUAUAGUUUCUGAUUUGGUAAAUCCAUGUUUGGGCUCAAGAAUUUGCAUUUCUAACAAAUUCCCAGAUGAGGCUGGCCACCGCUGGGGUAGGAGCUAUGCUUUAAGACCAUUGCUCUAAGGGUUAUGUGGCUGGUGGAGAAAUAUUUCUUCAUGUUGUACUGUGCAUCUGUUGAGGGUAAUCUGUAUUAGAAAAAAGAGUCACUGACCUAUAUAGAUAUAAUUUGUGGCCUGCCAGAAAUCUCUCACCCUGCUUUAAAACAUCAACAUGUUCCCUAAUAUGGGUAACAGUCCACCCCCCAACAGCCAUUCAACAUGGGAUCUGACAAAAUAAGACAUAAAUUAGCCAAGUAUGGAGACCAUAGAGCUGAAACAAAAAGCAAAGCAUGAGGCCAGAGUGUGAUGUCUUGAGUGCAUUUUUGAGGCCUGGGAAAGUAAUACUUAAGAUAUUGAUGGAGUGCUAAUGGGUAAAAGAGAAUCACUGGAGGGGAACUUUUUUACCCAUCAAUCCAAGAAACACACUUCAUUCUUAUAGUUACAUUAUCAUUUAAUUGACAGGAUAAUUAAAAUUGCCUCCAAUCUCCUGGAUCUGGUUUCAAUAUAUGUUUAAAAGAGAAAAAAAAAAAAAAAAACCUGAGUAUUCCUUGUCUAUAAAA